UACGUAGGGGGCGAGCGUUGUCCGAAGUUACUGGGCGUAAAGCGCGCGUAGGCGGGGGGUUAAGUGAGAGGUGAAAGGCUGGGGCUCAACCUCAUGCAGUGCCUCUCAUACUGGCCUUCUUGGGGCGGUAGGGAGAAGUGGAAUGGCUGGUGUAGCGGUGAAAUGCGUAGAUAUCAGUCGGAACACCGGUGGCGAAGGCGGCAUCCUGGACCGAUAUUGACGCUGAGGCGCGAAAGCCAGGGGAGCAAACGGG
rnacentral:rRNA from 1 species